AUUUAUUAGGCUUAGAGAAAGUCUAUUUAGAAUACCUAUUGAAGUUGAGAGUUGAUUGAAAUAAAAAUUUAGGUUUUGAUAGCUUAACUCUAGAUUUUAAUUUUCUGAUUCUUCUCCUCCUGAGCUUGCUGCCCUCUUCUUCUUUUACCCCAUCCCGAUCGUGAUCUGCCUCCCCGUGUCUAAUCUUGAUUUGCUGCCCCUUCUCGACCGAUCGCUGGUCAUCUUCCUCCGCGUGAGGCCAGGACAAAGACUGCAUCGGCCAUGUGAGAGCCAUUGACACAUUGCCCUUCUUGCAGAAUACCUUUCUCCUUAAGACGACACCGCCUCCUUGCUGAAGGCUAGAUCUGUGAUGCCGCCGGUAAAGGGAGAGCUAUCGAUCUCCUCCUAUGCCCUAGCUUACAUCACCGGCGCCAUCUAUUGCUUAGCACCGCUGUCGAUUGUGUUAGUACCACUUGAUCGCCGCUGUCUCUUCCCACCGGAGCAUUGUCUCCAAUUCCCGGAGCCAUGCCUUAGAUUGGAUCAGUGUUGCCUUACCCUUUUCCUCUCUAUCAUCAGCCAAUCACUAGGCGGCCGGAAGGUUUGGUCAUGGAGAGGUGUAUGCCUGGACUAGAUUGAGUUGGCCAUCAUUAUUGGCAUCAAUUGCGUUGGCUGUGAAAUAUCAGGGGAGUUGUUACCUAAGAAGAAGAUGGAAAAUUAGAUCAGUGAUUUGCGACGAGUAACGUGACAUGGGAGUUUUUCCGACAUGAGUUAUAUAAAGGCGAGUACUUCUUUCUUGGUCUCUACAGUUCUUUGAACUUAGUGCAUGGAUUAUUUGAUGGAUUAGGUUGCUUAACCUUGACUCCACUCGUGUUUUAUCUAUGCUUGAUACUUAUAUGCUUGAUCUUUGAGAUGAUAUCUUUAUUAUUUAUAUAGUCUCACCGUUUGAUAUUUCUACUCUGUAGUGUAUACACGUGUAUGGUGUGUAUUGUAGGAGUUAUCAUGUUGAUUAUGCAUAUGCUAGUGUGCCCAUGUGUAUAAGUGUUGUUACUUAUUGUAUAUCUUGUUGGUAGUCGCAUGUUAGAUCU